AAAGACUUAUAUACAGGCACCUAGCCGCCAUCUCGGUCUUUUCGCUACAAGGAGUCGACUUUGAUUUCAGUCACUGCUAAACACUUCUGUGUGGCUUACGAUGGCAUCUGAUGGACAGUUCUGUGCCAUCGGGAUGAGAACAACUUCCUGGGUCAUAAAUAACAAUCUUCACACAGCCAUGGACAAACAAGCUCUAAAUGAAUUUGCUGGAGAAUGAGAUGGUGCACUUGAGCCUUACAUGUGUGGUCCAACAUUUUCUUUCUGUGGGGCUCCUAUGGACAGCUUACUUGGUACAGACUUUGCACACCUUUAAAGAUGUGAAGAGCCAGGUUGGCUGCAAGAUAUGGGACACUGAAGUUUAACACAAAGAACUGUUUGUUGGAGAACUGCAGAUUAAUUUGUGAGGGAGCUUUUAAUGGCAGACCUUCUGUUUCCCUGAAUAUUUUAAGGUUAUUUAAGACGACAGUAAUGGAGCUUGUGGAAAGAGAUCUGUAUGGAUAGAUGGAUGGAUGCUCGUGGGAUAGAAGAUUAAAUGGACUUGAUUUUUUAAAAUGUUUAUUGCAUCAUUUUGUGUCUUUUCAUCUUAGUUGU